rnacentral:rRNA from 1 species
ACUCCUACGGGAGGCAGCAGUGGGGAAUUGUUCGCAAUGGGCGCAAGCCUGACGACGCAACGCCGCGUGGAGGACGAAGAUCUUCGGGUCGUAAACUCCUGUCGACCGGGAAGAAUGUUCCGGGAGUGAAUAUCUCCUGGAAGUGACGGUACCGGUAAAGGAAGCCCCGGCUAACUCCGUGCCAGCAGCCGCGGUAAUACGGGGGGGGCAAGCGUUGUUCGGAAUUACUGGGCGUAAAGGGGACGUAGGCGGCCAACUAAGUCCGACGUGAAAUCCCAAGGCUUAACCUUGGAACUGCGUCGGAUACUGGAUGGCUUGAAUUCGGGAGAGGGAUGCAGAAUUCCAGGUGUAGCGGUGAAAUGCGUAGAUAUCUGGAGGAAUACCGGUGGCGAAGGCGGCAUCCUGGACCGACAUUGACGCUGAAGGCCGAAAGCUAGGGGAGCAAACGGGAUUAGAUACCCCGGUAGUCCUAGCCCUAAACGAUGAAUGCUUGGUGUGGCGGGUAUCGAUCCCUGCCGUGCCGAAGCUAACG